rnacentral:rRNA from 1 species
AUGAACGCUGGCGGCGUGCCUCAUCCCUGCCAGUCGCGCGAACAGACGAGGAGCUUGCUCCUCUGACGUUAGCGGCGGACGGGUGAGUAACACGUGGAUAACCUACCUAUAAGACUGGGAUAACUUCGGGAAACCGGAGCUAAUACCGGAUAAUAUAUUGAACCGCAUGGUUCAAUAGUGAAAGACGGUUUUGCUGUCACUUAUAGCUGGAUCCGCGCCGCAUUAGCUAGUUGGUAAGGUAACGGCUUACCAAGGCAACGAUGCGUAGCCGACCUGAGAGGGUGAUCGGCCACACUGGAACUGAGACACGGCCCAGACUCCUACGGGAGGCAGCAGUAGGGAAUCUUCCGCAAUGGGCGAAAGCCUGACGAAGCAACGCCGCGUGAGUGAUGAAGGUCUUCGGAUCGUAAAACUCUGUUAUUAGGGAAGAACAAAUGUGUAAGUAACUAUGCACGUCUUGACGGUACCUAAUCAGAAAGCCACGGCUAACUACGUG